rnacentral:rRNA from 1 species
GACGAACUGUUCGAACGUUAUUCGGAAUCACUGGGCUUAAAGGGUGCGUAGGCGGUAUUAUAAGUGAGAUGUGAAAUCCCUCAGCUUAACUGAGGAACCGCGUUUCAAACUGUGGAACUGGAGUGAGACAGGGGUAAGCGGAACUUGCGGUGGAGCGGUGAAAUGCUUUGAUAUUGCAAGGAACACCAGUGGCGAAGGCGGCUUACUGGGUCUCAACUGACGCUGAAGCACGAAAGCCAGGGUAGCGAAC